AUUGAACGCUGGCGGCAUGCCUUACACAUGCAAGUCGAACGGCAGCACGGGAGCAAUCCUGGUGGCGAGUGGCGAACGGGUGAGUAAUAUAUCGGAACGUGCCCAGUAGUGGGGGAUAACUGCUCGAAAGAGCAGCUAAUACCGCAUACGACCUGAGGGUGAAAGGGGGGGAUCGCAAGACCUCUCGCUAUUGGAGCGGCCGAGAUCAGAGUAGCUAGUUGGUGGGGUAAAGGCCUACCAAGGCAACGAUCUGUAGUUGGUCUGAGAGGACGACCAGCCACACUGGGACUGAGACACGGCCCAGACUCCUACGGGAGGCAGCAGUGGGGAAUUUUGGACAAUGGGCGCAAGCCUGAUCCAGCAAUGCCGCGUGCAGGAAGAAGGCCUUCGGGUUGUAAACUGCUUUUGUCAGGGAAGAAAUCCUCUAGGUUAAUACCCUUGGGGGGAUGACGGUACCUGAAGAAUAAGCACCGGCUAACUUCGUGCCAGCCGCCGCCGUAAGAC
rnacentral:rRNA from 1 species